AUGAUUAAGAGUUUGAUCCUGGCUCAGGAUGAACGCUGGCGGCGUGCCUAACACAUGCAAGUCGAGCGCGAUUAGUUGGACUGGAGACUUCGGUCAAAGGGAAGACUAUGAAAGCGGCGGACGGGUGAGUAACGCGUGAGCAACCUGCCCUGUACAGGGGGAUAGCCACUGGAAACGGUGAUUAAUACCCCAUAAACCCAAAGGAUCGCAUGAUCCAAUGGGCAAAGUUCCAACGGUACAGGAUGGGCUCGCGUCUGAUUAGCUAGUUGGUGAGGUAAUGGCUCACCAAGGCGACGAUCAGUAGCCGACCUGAGAGGGUGAACGGCCACACUGGAACUGAGACACGGUCCAGACUCCUACGGGAGGCAGCAGUGGGGAAUAUUGCACAAUGGGCGCAAGCCUGAUG
rnacentral:rRNA from 1 species